AGUACCGAGAACACGAGGAUAAUGGAGGGUAAGAGGAUGUUUUUUGGUAGUAAUAUCCCAGCAUCACUCAUGUCAGUGUUCAUGCCUGAGGGGCCUAAGCCGUUGCUACUGCCACCUAGUAUGCCAGUGGAAGGAGUUGUCACAACAGGUGAACCACCACUGGGCAGGCUGGUGGAAGGUGUAUUGGUUGUGGUUGAUACCGGCCUGGUGGCGCCGCUGAAACAAGUAAAUGACAAGAGUUACUUGAAAGAUUCAGACCAAAACAUAGGAAAGUUAUGACAGAUUAAGGUGAAUGAUUCUGGGAAAGUAGUUACGCACGUUGAUAAUCAAAUGAUUAGAUACUUAUGAUAUUUCAACACAGGCCAGGAAACAGAAUUAUUUGCAUAUUUCCUCUCUAGCCUUUCCACCGGUGUUCAACUACUAAACUAGACAUCAACAGCCUUUUGGGAUAUCAUAAAACAAACUAAUUCUCCUUUGCAAUAAAUUUCAAGUCGACCCAUGAAAUCUUUUGAUGCCACUCUAUACGACUUAGCCUAUAUAAUGCGACUGUAGAAUUGAUUUUGUCCAUAGCCCCAAUAUAAGUCUCUUAUUUGCACUAGGUUCUGGUUAAACGAGAACUCAGGCCGUACCAGCUGUUUUGGGGCUGACAGACAAAUUUUAUAGGCCCGACAUGCAUACGAGUUCUGGGCAUGGACUGGCUCCUCACGUACAGCCAGCCAGCCAGCCAGCCAUGCCUACAGUCUUCUUAUAAAAGUCUCUACAUCUGUGUCUCUUCUACAUAUAAUAGGCUGCCUCAUGCUGCCCCGGUCCGGUCAUGGCCUUGGCCAGGACACAUUUGAACACCUUUAGAUAUGGUUAGUUAGGAUGGAGAGGGAAAAGAAAUGAUAAAACAACGUAUGGGAUUUUAAAAUAGAAAAAUGUAAGACGGCACAAAUCUCAAGGGAUCUGGCAUCAAAAGGAUUUGAAAUGGGCUUCUCAAAAAUUACACCCAUUAAUUCCAGUGCCUGCAAGAUUGAUUUGAUUCCUUCAAUAUGGACACAAGGACAGGUCAGUUGUCAGGGGCCAUUAUUUUUGAAAUAGCCACCAUUACUUUUUGACCUAAAAAUCCUUUGAACAGCAAAAGAGUAAAGGGAUAAACAAAGUUGGGUCCAUCUAUCCUUUUGACAAAGUGGCACAGGAAAAACCAAACUAUUUACCAUCUACAGGCAGUAAAAAUGUAAUAAAGAACCAAAUGGAAGCCUUGGAUUCUUCUAUUGCUAAUUAUUGCCCUAUCGUUUCAAGUUGGUAGUGCAAUUAUACAGCCAAUAAAUGGACCAACGGAGUCAAAGGACACCAUCAUAAAUAACAUGAACAAAGCAAGCGGAUAGAAUUAAAAAACUGAAAUAAAGAGAGUAGGGACUCUUGAUUCUGCCAAUAGACUUGAGCAUGUCUCAGUGACUAACACAUUUAAAAUAAGUCACACAUUUAGCACGAGCCACCCAAACAUGCUCUUAGUUCUUUAAGUGCUAUAGCUUUGGGAGCGAUGGAAUAUGGAUAAUAAUUUAGUAAUGCAAAGCGAGUCCUAAAGCUUUGCCAAACAUUAUUUUAGGCCAAAAAAGACUCUGUAGAAUGACAGUGUAGGAGCCCAUAGGCUCGAUACGUAGAAUGACUGUAAAAAACGGGUGUGUCAAGCCAACUCGAAACUGGGUUGUACAAACUUGAUUCGUUUACAAUCUAGUCAAAGGAUUGAAUGAGUGCCCUUAACAUUCAUCAAUAAAAUGCUGAUGCAUUUCCCAAAUAUGUUACUAAAAUGAUAAAGGCAAAGGAAUAUGAUAGCAAAUCAAAAGGAUGAGACUGCAAUGCUUGACAAAGUUAGCCACAUCAAGAAUAGGUUUGCUUUAUCGAUUCUCAUCCCAUUACAGACAAAAUAUGAACGAUUAAAGAUCUUUUCGAAACGGAAUCUAAUAUUCGACACCAAUACAUAAUGAAAUAGCUUCAAUCCCCAAACAAAGUGUUGAUCCGUUGAAAAUUAUACACAACUAAAUCCACAAAGUGCAUGUCUAGCACGUAGUAGUACCGAACAUUGAUCACGUUGACAAUACUAAAAUAGAACAAUUUAAAGUUGGCACUUAAGCAAUGUCCACUCACUGUAGGGAGCAAUUAGCACCUACUUGAUAUUAGUACAACGAUAAAUUUGGAGUUUAUGCGAUGUAAAGUUUUGAUAGAAAAUUUUAGUAAAAAAUAUUAAUAAAUGAAGCAUUUCUUGGCAUCCCAUUUUUCUUGCAACAAGUACAUCUUCUGAAAAAAUAAAAAUGAAAAUUACUUUUCCUAUUAAAAAGGUAGAUUUGAAAUGGAGAUCUGAGUGGGGCCAUCUUGCAGCAGAACUCGAGUAAAGUUGUGUUUUUUAAAUCCACAAGAGCCAAGACAACAUAAGGCUCUCUUAACCAUACAAAAAACAGCAAAUUAAUGCGUGGCUCUCAUGAAAUGACAACAUCGUGUUUCUUAGCUCCCGUUUGAAUCACAUUAUUGCAAAAAUAAAAAUAAAAAAUAUAAUCGUUGUGGAUCUCACACAAAAGAUAAAAAGUUAAAUAUGAUGACUUAAUGUGAUGGAUAACGAUCAUAUUUUUCGUUUUAAUGAAAAAAUAAUAGGGUUCAAACAAAUGAAGCAUUUCUUGGCAUCCCAUUUUUCUUGCAACAAGUACAUCUUCUGAAAAAAUAAAAAUAAAAAUGAAAAUUACUUUUCCUAUUAAAAAAGGUCGAUUUGAAAUGGAGAUUGGAGUGGGGCCAUCUUGCACCAGAACUCGAGUAAAGUUGUAUUUUUUAAAUCCACAAGAGCCAAGACAACAUAAGGAUCUCUUAACCAUACAAAAAACAGCAAAUUAAUGCGUGGCUCUCAUGAAAUGACAACGUAGUAUUUCUUAACCCCUGUUUGAGUCGCAUUAUUGUAAAAACAAAAAUGAAAAAUAUAAUUAUUAUGAAUCUCACAUAAAAAAUAAAAAGUCAAAUAUGAUGAUUUGAUGUGAUGAAUAACGAUUAUAUUUUUUAUUUUAAAGAGAAAAUAUUGGGACUCAAACUGAGCCUUAAUAUGAUCUUUUUAAUUAAUUAAAUUCUUGGAUUUUUUUAUCAAGAUAAUAUAGACAUAUAUGAUAUAUAUCACGUACUAGUAACUCUAUUGUAAAUCAUACCUUGCACUUGCAGGGUAAGAACAGCCAGAUGAGCCUGUAAAUCAACCCAAAGAAGAGACAGUGAAUAGUAGUAAAACUUUCUAUGGUUAAAGACACUCCCAAGUCACAAAAUUUACAGCCAAAUUUCACUUUAAUCACCUAAUCUUCAUUUUUUGUCUCUUCAUCCAUCUCCAGUAAAUUGAAUGUGGCAGACAACAAUGAUUCUAACCCUACUGUACUCGGUGGCAAUAAAACUUUAGCACACAUUCUCACAAACGCGGUGAUCAGUACAAUAAACGAGAUUUUAGCUCUUGUUUUCUUUUAAUAUUCUGCACUAUGAAGUCCAUCUUAACAAACAUGCCAUUCCGGUCUGUAGAGACUUACUGGGAUCAGAUGUGACUGUGUAGGCAGUGCCUGAAAAAUCACAGGCUGUUGGGGUUUGGCCUUUCUUUUGGAAAUAACUGUUGACAGCAUAGUUGCAGUGAGCCCUCACAGUAUUUGGGUUAAAACAAGGUCCAUUUUGGUGGGUGGGGUUGCAAUCAGCCCCUGCACCACAUGCAUAAUCCAGUGUUUUUUGCAAGGCUUGAUCACUCAGUCCCUCCUUGCAAAUGCACCAAGUUGCACCUACCAAAAUACCACAAUAAAUGAGAAGAAAUUUAAACAAUAAGGGCAUGUGUUGGCUAAGCUUUUUUCUUACUUCUUGAAGAUACAAUGCGAGGAUCCUACAACCCAAAAAAGUUAAAAUAAAAGAGAAGAUAAUGAAAAGAUCCAUUUGCAUUCACAUCCACCCAUGUGCAGGAAAAUUUAAGAAAUAAAUUAGAGGAUAAUCAAGAAUGCUUUGCAGUAACGCAUUUUGUUUGGCGUGGUAUUAUGGAAUUUUUUCAGAAACUAGUUUAGUAAACGCAAAAGAACAUCUUAUGAAUUUAUUUAUUUUUUCUCUAAAUGCAUUAUAUUUUAUGCAUAUUUAAGCCUUAGAAAAUAGUAAAAAAGGACAGAAAUUGUAGUUGUAAAAUGCUUACUUGAAUGAGCAGCCAUGGCUAAAAUGAGAACCAGAACCAGAACCAAAAAUCUAGCCAUGAGAAAAGGGAUUACACACAAUGUUGAGAAAGAAAAUGCUGAGAAAUAGAGGAUUGUAAGGAAAUAGAAGACGAGAUGAGUGAGAGAGUAACUGUGUGUUCUGUGUGUCAAUGUGAGAGAGAGAUAUAAAAGGGUGAGGGUGAGAUACAAAAGGGUGAGAGAGAGAUAUAUAAGGGUGUAUUGAAUAUGGUGAAUGCUAGUGGGGAUGCAGGUGGCCCAGGCUGGUAUACACUGCCGGCUUGCUACGUUGUGCUUGUUGUUAUUUGAAUUUAGAGCUUUAUUUAUCCAAAAAAAAAAUGUACGAUAAGGGUAAAAUCGUCUUUAUAAAUUUGUUAGGCAACCGGAACUCAAGUGCUACAAAAAUAGAAUGUUGACGGUAGGACUGUAAGCAAAAAUCGCAAAAUUUAAAAAUCGAAUUGAAAUCGCAUCUUAGAAAUCGUGGGUUUGGUGCCAUGUGGACCAGGUCAACGAAAUGGUUUUGACCCAAACCAAAUCGGUCAAAAUGGUUUGGUUUAGGUUUGAAAAUUUUAAUUGCGGUUUAAAAUCAAACCGGACUGGCGAAAAAAUACAUAAAAAUAAAAAAAUGAAAUUUUUUGAAAAUUCAUCCAAAUAUGUAAAAUUCAAUAGUUUUGUCAUUUGUUAAUAUUUUUGUCAAUUCCUAAUUUUCUAAUAUUGAUAUAUUAUUAUUAUUAUUAUUCAAUAAUCCUAAUAUAUAUUUAAUAAUUUUAAGACUAACAUAAUCUAUCAAAAGUCUUUUUCCUUUUCAAAAUUUAGAUGAAUUUCAGUCGACACCCAACACAGUUUUGAGCCACCGGCACCACACACUUCUUUUCAGAUUUUUCACGCAUUUUCAAAGUUGAAUUGAAGUCCAUUAUACCAAAUCGGAGACAAAGAGAUUCUAGACUUUCGGUGAUAAUAUUUGCUUCAAAUAAAGUUUCAGAUCAAUAAUUUUUUGGAGCAAACUAAGGUAAGAAUCUGAAAUUAAAUGUGUUUCGUAACAUCAUACAAACGUAAACUUGUGUAAUUGUUAUGUUUAGAUAUUAUAAACAAUUGCUUUAUUAUUGUAGUUGGUUAUUCUCUUUGUUUAAUCAAUAUAUUUUUUUCAGAUAUGAUGAUCAUAAAGUCUUGUUGGAUAUCAUUAUGUUUUUUGAACCUUAUAUCUAGUUUAAUAGAUUUGUAUUGUAACGUUAUUGUAUCGUCAUUAGCCUAAAAANNNNNNNNNNNNNNNNNNNNNNNNNNNNNNNNNNNNNNNNNNNNNNNNNNNNNNNNNNNNNNNNNNNNNNNNNNNNNNNNNNNNNNNNNNNNNNNNNNNNNNNNNNNNNNNNNNNNNNNNNNNNNNNNNNNNNNNNNNNNNNNNNNNNNNNNNNNNNNNNNNNNNNNNNNNNNNNNNNNNNNNNNNNNNNNNNNNNNNNNNNNNNNNNNNNNNNNNNNNNNNNNNNNNNNNNNNNNNNNNNNNNNNNNNNNNNNNNNNNNNNNNNNNNNNNNNNNNNNNNNNNNNNNNNNNNNNNNNNNNNNNNNNNNNNNNNNNNNNNNNNNNNNNNNNNNNNGAACAAGUGGUUGCUUAUAUGAGAGACCUAAAGUAAUAUGAUCAAGGGUAUGCAUCAGAAUAGAUUGGUUGUUUCUAUAUGUAGAAAAAGUAGGUCAAGUUUGAUUUUAUUAACUUAGUUUUGGUUGGGACAAUGCAACUACUAGAUUUGAUAAAAUGUGCAUGUGCCAUCAUUUCUUUUCCAUAAAAUGGUGUGUGCAUAUAUAGAAUUUGAAAGCAUUUCUUUCUAGGCAAUUUACAGUAGCGGUGGACGAAACUAUGGAAGAGGUAAAAUUCCUUUACACAAAUGAGACUGUAUUGUGAUUAUAUAAUCUAAAUAUAAUUCUCCCUUGUAUUGUCACAAUAAUUAUCAAACCCAUCAAUAUGAAAUUCCAUUAGUAUGUUCUAUUUCCAAAAAGUAAUCCAUCCUUCAUACUAAUAGUUUGGAAUUUUAUUGGGACACAAUGAAUCUUCAAAUCACAUCUCUCAUCAAUCUUUAACAUUUUGACACGAUAACAUUAUCUUAAAAAUAACACGGCACGGGCGAAUGACUAGUAAAUAAUUCAAUUGAUAAUUAGUUUGUUGGGGGUGGUGAUGUGAGAAAGAAUUUUGGGGUUGUAUCAACUAUCAAUCGGACAUAAGAUUGGAUGAGGAGUUGAAUCCAAACUUUGAUAUACCCUGAUGAUUAUUGGAUGGGUAAAUUAUGUAAAAAUAAUAUGAAAUGUGUACUAAGAAGAUCAAGAUUGUAAUUCAUUUAUCCAUAAACUGAUGAGCAAAUGAAUAGACUUUAUUCUUGCUUAUUAUGAAUCUCUGUGGUAGAAUGACUCGACUAAGAUAAGAUGUUACACAUUCAUUUGCUUGUUGAGCACUAGUGUUCGCCUUGUUGAUAAGGGGCACAUGUGGGAAUCACUUUAUGCCAUUAAGAAGUUGAGCACAGGGUGUACAAUAGUAUGAGCUGUAAGGCACAUACAGGGUAAGACAUGGCAUUUGCAACAUAUCAUGCCUCACAGUUUGCUGAUACAUCAUAAUUUGCUCUCCGAGUAUGUAGUUUGUCCGAGCUCUUAAGUACUAUUAGGUUAGCAUGAGCUCUUAGAUGACGUGACGGAUGAUGCUACAAUGGGAUCGACUGUCGAUAAUGGGUUUGCCAAGAUUGUUGAAGUUACACUUAUUUCUAUAAAUAAGAGAAUGACUUAUUGAUUUAGAUUUAAAUGAGUUUCUUGAGAAUUUUGUUAACGGGAUUAUUUAUUCUUGUACGGUUAUAGCUUUCCAUAUGAUGAGAUCUGUUACAAUUUCUAGUUUGACAUCAAAUUAUCUUAUCAUCCGUUUGAGUGCAAAGAUGAAAUUCAAUUGAAUUGAAAAUGAAUUCUAGGGAAUUGAAUUGUCUAUAAAUUAUUUUUCUGAAAAUUGUAAAUUAUUGUAUUUAAUUGAUAUAAUUUUUAACGUGAAAAAUGUUGAAAUAAAAGUGUUUUUUAUAUUCGUUUGACUUUCUUUUACAUGUAAAUUGUCAAUUAAAAAGAUAAAAUUUACUGAUAUUGGAUAUGAAAUUUGUUUUCAUUGUCAACAAAAAUAAUUAAGAAAAUUCAAAGAAAUCAUCUAUCUUUUAGUAUUCAUUUGACUUUAUUUUACAUGAAAAUUGUCAAUAAAAGGAAAAAAAUUUUUACAAUAAUUCUUAGAAUUUAUUUCCAUUGCCAAAAUAAUAAUAAUAAUAAAUAAAUAAAUCGCUACAGUAAUCAAGAAUUCCAAUUUUCACCAUUUUGGUAAGAAUUCCAAUUCCAUGAUUUCAUGAAAAAUGUUGACGUGAUAGGUAAGUGAGAAUUUUAAUUCCAUGGAAAAUUUUGGACAACCAAACAACCAAAAGUUGGAAAAUCCAUUUUCCAUGGAAAAAGUGGAACAAUCAAACACUACCUUAGUGAAAAAAAUGAUGGAGAAAGGAAUUGUAAGAUUAUAUGGGGGCUGCGACUGAGAUUUGUUAGUGAAAACCCCAUGGGAUUAAAUUAACAGAACUUCAGUUAUUAUAAUGCAUAUGUGGACUAGUAGACAAACUAGAUUGCAAACCAUAAGUACAUAAAAAAACAAAAUUAAGAUUAUCUUAAAAUAUAGAAUCACAUGCAUAUUCAUUUCUGCACAUCGUCACUUUUCUGAUAUGGAUCUUGAAUAGCCUGCACCUCCCAUGAAGAAACAUUCCUCUUUCUUAAGCCCACCAGUAAACAAGUACCGAGAACACGAGGAUAAUGGAGGGUAAGAGGAUGUUUUUUGGUAGUAAUAUCCCAGCAUCACUCAUGUCAGUGUUCAUGCCUGAGGGGCCUAAGCCGUUGCUACUGCCACCUAGUAUGCCAGUGGAAGGAGUUGUCACAACAGGUGAACCACCACUGGGCAGGCUGGUGGAAGGUGUAUUGGUUGUGGUUGAUACCGGCCUGGUGGCGCCGCUGAAACAAGUAAAUGACAAGAGUUACUUGAAAGAUUCAGACCAAAACAUAGGAAAGUUAUGACAGAUUAAGGUGAAUGAUUCUGGGAAAGUAGUUACGCACGUUGAUAAUCAAAUGAUUAGAUACUUAUGAUAUUUCAACACAGGCCAGGAAACAGAAUUAUUUGCAUAUUUCCUCUCUAGCCUUUCCACCGGUGUUCAACUACUAAACUAGACAUCAACAGCCUUUUGGGAUAUCAUAAAACAAACUAAUUCUCCUUUGCAAUAAAUUUCAAGUCGACCCAUGAAAUCUUUUGAUGCCACUCUAUACGACUUAGCCUAUAUAAUGCGACUGUAGAAUUGAUUUUGUCCAUAGCCCCAAUAUAAGUCUCUUAUUUGCACUAGGUUCUGGUUAAACGAGAACUCAGGCCGUACCAGCUGUUUUGGGGCUGACAGACAAAUUUUAUAGGCCCGACAUGCAUACGAGUUCUGGGCAUGGACUGGCUCCUCACGUACAGCCAGCCAGCCAGCCAGCCAUGCCUACAGUCUUCUUAUAAAAGUCUCUACAUCUGUGUCUCUUCUACAUAUAAUAGGCUGCCUCAUGCUGCCCCGGUCCGGUCAUGGCCUUGGCCAGGACACAUUUGAACACCUUUAGAUAUGGUUAGUUAGGAUGGAGAGGGAAAAGAAAUGAUAAAACAACGUAUGGGAUUUUAAAAUAGAAAAAUGUAAGACGGCACAAAUCUCAAGGGAUCUGGCAUCAAAAGGAUUUGAAAUGGGCUUCUCAAAAAUUACACCCAUUAAUUCCAGUGCCUGCAAGAUUGAUUUGAUUCCUUCAAUAUGGACACAAGGACAGGUCAGUUGUCAGGGGCCAUUAUUUUUGAAAUAGCCACCAUUACUUUUUGACCUAAAAAUCCUUUGAACAGCAAAAGAGUAAAGGGGUAAACAAAGUUGGGUCCAUCUAUCCUUUUGACAAAGUGGCACAGGAAAAACCAAACUAUUUACCAUCUACAGGCAGUAAAAAUGUAAUAAAGAACCAAAUGGAAGCCUUGGAUUCUUCUAUUGCUAAUUAUUGCCCUAUCGUUUCAAGUUGGUAGUGCAAUUAUACAGCCAAUAAAUGGACCAACGGAGUCAAAGGACACCAUCAUAAAUAACAUGAACAAAGCAAGCGGAUAGAAUUAAAAAACUGAAAUAAAGAGAGUAGGGACUCUUGAUUCUGCCAAUAGACUUGAGCAUGUCUCAGUGACUAACACAUUUAAAAUAAGUCACACAUUUAGCACGAGCCACCCAAACAUGCUCUUAGUUCUUUAAGUGCUAUAGCUUUGGGAGCGAUGGAAUAUGGAUAAUAAUUUAGUAAUGCAAAGCGAGUCCUAAAGCUUUGCCAAACAUUAUUUUAGGCCAAAAAAGACUCUGUAGAAUGACAGUGUAGGAGCCCAUAGGCUCGAUACGUAGAAUGACUGUAAAAAACGGGUGUGUCAAGCCAACUCGAAACUGGGUUGUACAAACUUGAUUCGUUUACAAUCUAGUCAAAGGAUUGAAUGAGUGCCCUUAACAUUCAUCAAUAAGAUGCUGAUGCAUUUCCCAAAUGUGUUACUAAAAUGAUAAAGGCAAAGGAAUAUGAUAGCAAAUCAAAAGGAUGAGACUGCAAUGCUUGACAAAGUUAGCCACAUCAAGAAUAGGUUUGCUUUAUCGAUUCUCAUCCCAUUACAGACAAAAUAUGAACGAUUAAAGAUCUUUUCGAAACGGAAUCUAAUAUUCGACACCAAUACAUAAUGAAAUAGCUUCAAUCCCCAAACAAAGUGUUGAUCCGUUGAAAAUUAUACACAACUAAAUCCACAAAGUGCAUGUCUA
rnacentral:lncRNA from 1 species